AGAGUUUGAUCAUGGCUCAGGAUGAACGCUGGCGGCGUGCUUAACACAUGCAAGUCGAACGAAGCAGAUGAGAAAGCUUGCUUUUUUAUUUCGCUUAGUGGCGGACGGGUGAGUAACGCGUGAGUAACCUGCCCUUCAGUGGGGAAUAACAUCGAGAAAUCGGUGCUAAUACCGCAUAACGUAUUUAUGUCGCAUGACAUUUAUACCAAAGGAUUUAUUCGCUGAAGGAUGGACUCGCGUCCGAUUAGAUAGUUGGUGAGAUAAUGGCCCACCAAGUCAACGAUCGGUAGCCGAACUGAGAGGUUGAUCGGCCACAUUGGGACUGAGACACGGCCCAGACUCCUACGGGAGACAGCAGUGGGGAAUAUUGGGCAAUGGGCGAAAGCCUGACCCAGCAACGCCGCGUGAAGGAUGAAGGUCUUCGGAUUGUAAACUUCUUUGAUUAGGGAAGAAUUUUUGACCUACCUAAAGAACAAGUCACGGCUAACUACGUGCCAGCAGCCGCGGUAAUACGUAGGUGACAAGCGUUAUCCGGAUUUACUGGGUGUAAAGGGCGUGUAGGCGGUUUUGCAAGUCAGAUGUGAAAUUCCCAGGCUUAACCU
rnacentral:rRNA from 1 species